GAGUAGCUCAGUUGGUAGAGCUUGAGACACUUGAUCUCAAGGUCCUGAGUUAGAGUCACACGUUGGACA